CCCCGGGCUUAACCCUGGGGAACUGCAUCUGAAACUGUUAGGCUAGAGUAGGUGAGAGGGAAGUAGAAUUUCAGGUGUAGCGGUGAAAUGCGUAGAGAUCUGAAGGAAUACCGAUGGCGAAGGCAGCUUCCUGGCAUCAUACUGACACUGAGGCUCGAAAGCGUGGGUAGCAAACAGGAUUAGAUACCCUGGUAGUCCACGCCGUAAACGAUGUCUACUAGUCGUUGGGUCCCUUGAGGACUUAGUGACGCAGCUAACGCAAUAAGUAGACCGCCUGGGGAGUACGGCCGCAAGGUUAAAACUCAAAUGAAUUGACGGGGGCCCGCACAAGCGGUGGAGCAUGUGGUUUAAUUCGAUGCAACGCGAAGAACCUUACCUGGUCUUGACAUAUCUAGAAUCCUGCAGAGAUGCGGGAGUGCCUUCGGGAAUUAGAAUACAGGUGCUGCAUGGCUGUCGUCAGCUCGUGUCGUGAGAUGUUGGGUUAAGUCCCGCAACGAGCGCAACCCUUGUCCUUAGUUACCAGCGGGUUAAGCCGGGAACUCUAAGGAUACUGCCAGUGACAAACUGGAGGAAGGCGGGGACGACGUCAAGUCAUCAUGGCCCUUACGACCAGGGCUACACACGUGCUACAAUGGUAGGUACAGAGGGCAGCUACACAGCGAUGUGAUGCGAAUCUCAAAAAGCCUAUCGUAGUCCAGAUUGGAGUCUGCAACUCGACUCCAUGAAGUAGGAAUCGCUAGUAAUCGCGGAUCAGAAUGCCGCGGUGAAUACGUUCCCGGGCCUUGUACACACCGCCCGUCAGCACCAUGGGAGUUGAUUGCACCAGAAGUGGAUAGCUUAACCGUAAGGGGGAGCUUCCCCCCCGGGGUGGC
rnacentral:rRNA from 1 species